GGGCAUAGUUCAGUGGUAGAAUGUCUGCUUCCCAAGCAGAAGAUCGCGAGUUCGAGUCUCGUUGCCC
rnacentral:tRNA from 1 species